UACAGAGGUCCCAAGCGUUGUUCGGAUUUACUGGGCGUAAAGGGUGCGUAGGUGGCGAGGCUAGUCAGGUGUGAAAUCUCGGGGCUCAACCCCGAAACUGCACUUGAUACUGCCUUGCUAGAGUGCUGGAGAGGAGAUUGGAAUUUACGGUGUAGCAGUGAAAUGCGUAGAUAUCGUAAGGAAGACCAGUGGCGAAGGCGGGUCUCUGGGCCGAUACUGACGCUGAGGAGCGAAAGCGUGGGGAGCGAACAGG
rnacentral:rRNA from 1 species